rnacentral:lncRNA from 1 species
UUUUAUAUAACUAAAAUCCAUUAGAUCCAUUGGAUCCAUUGAAUCCAUCGGAUCCAUUUUUUUUAUAUAACUAAAAUCCAUUGGAUCCAUUAAAUCCAUUUUUUUUUAAGUAACUUUUAUAAUAAGUUCAGUGUUUUGGGAUUUGAACCCACAAACCAAGUAGUACUGUGGACGAUCAGUAAGGUGGUCUGUAAAAAUUGGCACAACUGCUUGUUCCCCAUGCAUAAAUUUUUAACUAGUUUUUGGGAUUGGAUUUAUUCAAAUUUG